GCCUGGGUGGCUUAGUCGGUGAAGCCUCUGACUUCAACUCAGGUCAUGAACUCACGGUUUGUGAGUUCGAGCCCCGCGUCGGGCU
rnacentral:tRNA from 1 species